UAGAAACAGGGCCUACUAGGAAACAAAGCAGAAUGUUCCAAGUUCCAAGUCAGGAGUUGUAGAAAAGAAUGCCACUUUCUGUUGGCUGAAGAAGGAUGAGAAAGUGAGGGACACAGAUAGAGCCACAUAAAGAAGUGUGGAAAGAAUUCAUGGAAGGCAAAGGAGCCAGGAUGAGUGUGUUAGCUCUUACUUUAGGAAGGAAAAUCCAGUGAAGAGUUUUUAUCAUGGGACCCAUGUCAUACUGCAGUGGAAAUUGGUCUGGCUCUGGCGUAGAGAGUCAAUCAGAAGAUCAGACUGAAUAGAAUGACUUCAUAAAGUGGCGACAGUGGCAAGCUAGGUGAGGAAAGCUCUGGAUUAAGAUAGGAAAGGGACAAUGGAGCUGGAGUAGGUCUUACCACCCUGAUGUGAUGGAGUUAGUUACUUAGAAUUCUUUCACUGAGUCAUGGUCUCCAUGGAGCUUCAGAACCUAGUGCAUGCAGGGCACAUGGUAAGUGCUUCAUACGUACCUGUUCAAAGAGAGCAAAGAAGAAAUUGAGAAGCAAAUUACUCUUACCAGUGUCCCGAUUCUGAAUUCAGGCUCAGAUUCAUUUAUUUUGACUGUAAAAUUCUCCUCAUCAGUGCUCACAAAGAGGUAUUUUAGAAACAUUAAUUUUAUUAAUUGUGUGUGUGUGUGCGUGGUGUACAUUCAUGGGCAUGUGCACAUAUGCAUGUCUAUGUGUAUGCAGGUACCCAGUGACCAGAAGACUAUAGCAUAUCUCCAUGAACUUGGAGUUUACACAAAGUUUAUGAGCCACUCAAUAAGUGUACUGGGAUCCAAUCUUGGGUUCUCAGCACUUAUAUUCUCUCUGCUUCGUGAAAAUGUAUAUUGA
rnacentral:lncRNA from 1 species